GGAUGUGGCUCAAGCGGUAGCGCGCUCGCCUGACAUGCGUGCGGCCUGGGUUCCAUCCUCAGCACCA
rnacentral:tRNA from 1 species